AAGAAGCUCAAAAAUAACAAAAGAUCAAUGUAAAUGCCUAUGGCAAAGAACAACUAAAAUUCAAUGUGGGUGAAAAAGUAUAAUUAUUUUAUUACAAUAUAAAGACUAUUUAUUUAUAUAACAAAUUAUUAAGGAUAAGAACUUAAUAAAAGAAAAUAAACAUAUGAGGCUCUUUCAAAGAAAUAUGACAAAAUAGAAAUAAAGAAGUAUAUUAUAAUUAUCAUUUUAUUUAUUCUAAAAAUUCUUUUCAAAAUAAACCUGUAUAAGGGGAUUCAAAUGCAGAGAAAGACUAAGCGCAUGAGUUGUACUUGUUAGAGUUACACAAUUAAUCAUAUUUCAAACUAUUGAAAAUACCAAAAAACACUACAAUGUUUUCCACUUCCUAAUAGUACUCCGCCAUCACUGAUAACAACAAUGUGUAUCCUCGCACUAUCUUAAAAGACAGUACAUAAUCAUUCCAUAAUCCAAACACUAAAAUCCUUUACUACUAAUUGUCCUUCUCAACACACUUCUUCAUAGAAUUCCAGACUCUACAAACUCCUUCUGAUGAAUCACUCUCAAUUUCCAAUACUCAAUGUAAUAUAAAUUCUUCCAUUCAUAUCUAUUCUUCACAAAUAUUUCCAAUUAUUCUCUUUUAAUUCACCAUUGUAUAAUUCAACAUUCAAUUAAUCGAAUUCUUCUUUUGACAAUAUCAAAUCUCUUUUCAUUCCAAAAUAUUACUUCACAUUUUUGAAAAACUAUCCAUAACUCUUCUUCUACAAAGAAAAUAAAAUCCAAGAAAUAAACAAAGAAAGAAGUAGUACCAAGCUUAUCCUAGCUCAUGACUAUCACAAUCUGGUCCUU
rnacentral:lncRNA from 1 species